AAUGCAUCACCUAUGGCAAAGAUGGCCACCUCGCCUCCAUCCACAGUGAUCGCGAAAUGGCAUUUUUAUCUUCUGCUCUACGCAUGAACUAUGCAAAGAGAUUUAGAAUCUGGAUUGGAUUGUACAAACUCCCAGGCGGGAGGACACGAUUCAGAUGGCAAGACCACUCCAGGGGGGGUUACAUCCCUUGGGCAGUCAAUCAACCUUCCAACUGCAAACGGAGGCAGAAUUGUGUUGAGCUCUAUACUACCGACUAUAAAAGAUGGAAUGACCAGUUUUGUGACGUCGAACAGCCCUAUCUGUGCAAGAUGAGUCUCGUUUGAAUACAGCUGGAAACACCUUGAAGGUUGUAAGUCGGAAUCUCCCUGACUACCACAAGAUCAGCCUGCUGACCCACAGAACAAGCCUGUGCGUCAGGCUUUCUUUUCCAUGUGGUGUCACUAAUCAAUAAACUCUAAUCCAAGUGCAGAUGAUGCUCUGAAUUUUUUUCUCUUGUGUCUUGUCAUUCAUUGAGGACUCCAGGUG